UACGGGGGGGGCAAGCGUUGUUCGGAAUUACUGGGCGUAAAGGGCGCGUAGGCGGCCUUCUAAGUCAUACGUGAAAUCCCUCAGCUUAACUGGGGAACUGCGUGUGAUACUGGAUGGCUUGGAUUUGGGAGAGGGAUGCGGAAUUCCGGGUGUAGCGGUGGAAUGCGUAGAUAUCAGGAGGAACACCUGUGGUGUAGACGGCUUUCUGGACCAUCACUGACGCUGAGACACGAAAGCGUGGGGAGCAAACAGG
rnacentral:rRNA from 1 species